CCUAGAUUUGAGGGAUUGAGAUGUUUGGGGACCUGGUGAUGGACCCCAUAGUAGAUGUGAAUUAUGGUUUAGAAUAUUUAAAUAUUAAAUAAUUUAGUUUGUGAAUUAUAAUUGAUGUUGUAGGGGAAGAGUCAGCGGUGCCAGGAGAGUUUGAUCAGGGGACUCAGCACCCCAGCGCGUAGGUUGUGAUUCGGAUCUGUGCUUGAGUCAGUCUACAAUUUCUGUAAAGUUACAUGAUGCAUUGAUUUGGACAGGAUGGGCGCAGAGUGCGAGUACCCGAGUCAUUAGUUAGUUGGUUUGUUUAUCUUUCUUUGAUGUUGAUGAACAUUUGAAGAUCUUGUAAUUGAACUAAUUUGUUUAUUUGGACAUGUUGGACUUGUCUAUUUGAAUUACUAAAUUAAUUAUGGAUUUAUUGGAAUUUUUGAUAAUCAUAGGCCUUGCAUGAUCUCUAGGGCACUGCUCUAGGGCUCAUGCGGCCGGUCGCGUUCCGGACCCAGGUGCUGGGUUCGGGGCGUGACAGAGUGGUAUCAGAGCUUAAGGUUAAGGUAUCCUAGGGUUUAUGUUCAGGUGAGUAUAAGUGGAGAAUUAUGAUAGAAAAACUAUCAGAGAUUUGGUUUAUAAUCACUUGAGAUUGUAACAAAAAUGAUAUUAUAAUCUAUGGUUUAAGACCACUAGGGACUGUGGCCUUAGUGGCAUUAAAGUUUGAGGUUUAAGAUUAUUGGAAAAUGUGACCAGUUGGAAUCUGAGCAUAUGUUUAAGAUCACUAGGGAUCGUGACAGAAAUAUAUCAUAGCUUAAGGUUAUGAUCACUUAGAACAUGACAAUUAGAUUCAGUGCUUAAGCC
rnacentral:lncRNA from 1 species